rnacentral:lncRNA from 1 species
GUUGCGUUGCGUGCCCAAAGGGCAUAACUGGGUCCUUUAUAUUCCAGUCUGGCUGGAAGGAAGGGAGUAGUGUGCUCCAUAACCAUUCCACCACACUUUGACUGAAUUGGUAGAAUCUAGCUUUUCUGACCCUGAAAGUAAUACCGGAUUUUUACUUAUUAUGUUUCUGAUUGAAAUCCUACAUUAUCAAUUUAUCAUGAGCAUUUUUUGACAAACAAGCUAGGAGAGUUUUUGUUGUUGUCGUUGAAACGAGGUUAUAUUAUUCAUCAAUCUAUGUGACAAAGAUGAUGUAAAUAGGAAAUUACAUAAUUAGAUUUCAGAUAGGUAGAGAAUCAGUACGACAAGAUUUUGCUAUCAGGUCUGUCAAUUGAUUCAACCAACGUGAAACAAUAAACCGAACUAUAAAAUUAUUAUGUUCUAUAUUAAAUUGUCUUUAGCUCGGGAUUUUCCAUUCAGGAAAAGAUCUAAUGGUUGAUCCGACUCUUUCAGAGGUCACCAUGACCGAUGUCGCCAGUGCUGCUGUUUCCAUACCGUCGGACCCGGCCGAUACCCAACAGUUCUCGCCGCCGCCAACCGCAUGGUUUGAGCCGCCGCAGGAGAUUGGAUCUCGCAAGAGACCGAUAAAAUGAUUGGAUCCCAUCACCGGGGAUUUUAUCGGAAAAGUAGAAAGGGGAGAGGAAAGGAAGAAGGCGAAGAGGAGAGAAAGUUGGAUGAAGUAGAGACAAUUGUAAUUAUGAUUCAUGUUCGAUUUCAGGGACAGCUCAGGGUAGAUAACUCAGCUGCAGCGUGCAGUACGAUAGUAACAGAAAUCCGUAAGACCACAAUGCAAUUUGGUCACUAGAGUUUAGAGAAUUACAAAUUAAACAGAAAUUUAAAAGAUGCCUAAAUUAGUCCUUCAAGUUCUGACAAUACCCUAUUGUGAAAUUCGGC